rnacentral:lncRNA from 1 species
CCGGUGGCAGGUAUGGAACCUAUAGGGGGGCCUGUCACCCGGCACGUGCGCCGGGGGCCGGCCGGGCGGGAGGGGAGGAAGGCCGGCGGGCCGGCAGGGGGCCGACCCCGACCCCGACCCCGACCCGACCCGACCAGAUCCGCCCCGGAGCCCGGGCCUGGCCGGCUGGGCCUCGCUCCCAGCGCCCCUGGCAGGGCUGCCUCGGCGAGGAAUCAAAGCUCUCCAGCCAACACCAUGUGACCUUGAGGAUGGAAAACACGUGCUUGGGGAGACAGAAGAAGGCUGAGAGCCUGGUGACUUCAUGGAGCUGCCAAAACAGUUGACUGCUUUACUCUCAAUAAAGUGAGAAAAGAAACCCACCUACGUGAACGACUGGACUUUCUUAUGUGAAGCCAAACUUCGUGGUAACAGAUAAUAGCGACCCUCUGUGAUAACCAGGUGUUUCCUUGUUUCUCAUCUAUACUAUUGCAUGGGGGCAAAUAGUUCUUAAUAAAGAACAGAAAUAACACAGAUUAAAUCUCUGGGGCUAGGGGUUGUUCCUCUGGUAGGACUCUGCACAUAGUGAUAUAGAUCUGGUUGGGCUGUUGUUCUUAAAUUACUGAUUUUAAGUGUUCCUCACAGUGGAGUGGAGUUUCAGAAGCACGUAUUUGGUUGCCUUAGCUUCAGUUUAAAUAUGUGGAGAGCAGUGAGGGAGGCUCCUAAGGACACAGAGGGGAAAACCAGGCAUUGCCUUUGUAAGAUGGACGAAUGGGGAAUUCCCUGGUGGUUCAGUGGCUAGGACUUGACGCUUUCACUGUUGUGGCCUGGGUUCAGUCGUGGUUAGAGACCCAAUGUCCUGCAGGCUGCCCAGCGUGGCAACAAAACAAACAAAACCAAAACACAUUUGGAGCUCGUAAAAAGCUCUGGCACUGAGCUCAGAGAAAGCUGGGUUGAGGCCCUUGGUUCAGUUCCCCUGCCCACCAGCAUGGUGAGCUUGUUAGUGUCAGAUGACCCAUGUAUUUUUUGAUCUCUGAGUCAUCUUAAAAGUCAGUUUAUCAAGGUAUAAUUGACAUACAAUAAACUACAUCCAUUUAUUUUUUAAUUGAUUUUUUGGAGUAUAGUUGAUGUACAAUGUUGUGUUCAUUUCUGCAGUACAGUGAAACGAAUUGGCUAUAUACAUAGAUAUAUCCCCUUUUUUUAGGUCACCAUUGAGCAUUGAGUGGAGUUCUCUGUGCUGUACAAGGUUCUCACU